GUCUAUAGCCCUACCACCCUGAAUGCACCUGAACUCAGAAGCUAAGCAAGCUCAGGCCUGGUUAGUCCUUGGGUGGGAUUCCUACGGGGUGCAGUAAGCUUUUGACC
ensembl:rRNA 5S_rRNA 5S ribosomal RNA